GAUGGAGUUGGUAUAAUAUUCGAACUGUUAGAUCGCAUGUACGUGAAGAUUAUCCGGCACGCAUUUAUCGAGGACAUUAUUGUAGUUGAAUAUUAUGUGUAUACCUGAUCGAGGCCUAGGCUUCAUUUACAUUUUGAUUGGUGUAGAGAAGUUAUAAAAUAAAUAUUAUGGAUUAUUUUGUAGGCUCCUUGGGUAGACGAAUAAUACUUGACUGUAUCAUUGAGAACAAUACAUGUCGAUAAAUAUACAUUACGGAAUACUAAUAAAUUGUUAAAAGUAUAAAUUCAUACAAAUAUGGUACUGAAU